AUGAAGCCUACCAAAUGGCUAUCAAACGGUGUUGUCGAAGCUGCACUUAUCCAAAUCAGGGAAACCUUACCUAAGGACUCGAAGAAGGUCAUCAUGCCACUCAGGGUUGCUACACGCUUGCAGCAAGGAAUAUACAAUGCUGCCGAGAUACAUUCUAAAUUUGAGAAGACUAAUCACCUAGACUGUCAAGAUAUGGUGAUGCUCCCUGUGCUUGAGUUUGCUGAUCCCAAUGAUCGAGAAGGAGGCAGACACUACUGGGUGUUUAACAUCAACUUAAGGGAUCAACGUUUUGAGGUGCUAGAUUCUUGGAGGAAGCUCGACAACCCUGACUUAAUGCACUAUGCUUUAACUAUGGCGGGAGCAGUGAGGUGUUUAUGGAAGCAGCAUUACCCAGAGCACAAUAUCAUUCACUUUCAAGUCGUCGACAUUGAUGUACCCAAGCAACUCGGGAACAUUUCGAAUGGGAGACAAUUGCCAAACUACGAACCAAAAGAGUGCCUAAGCAUGAGAAGGAUAAUGACCCACAAGAUGGUUGACUUUGCUCUCAACAAAGCCCCGUGGAGGGAAAUUCUACGGUACAAAGAGUAA
rnacentral:rRNA from 1 species